rnacentral:rRNA from 1 species
AAUAGCUCAAAUUUGAAAGCUGGCGUCUUCGACGUCCGCGUUGUAAUUUGUAGAGGAUGCUUCGGCGAAGACUCCUGCCUAAGUCCCCUGGAACGGGGCGUCAUAGAGGGUGAGAAUCCCGUAUGUGGCGGGCAGUCUAAGCCAUGUGAAGCUCCUUCGACGAGUCGAGUUGUUUGGGAAUGCAGCUCUAAAUGGGAGGUAAAUUUCUUCUAAAGCUAAAUAUUGGCCAGAGACCGAUAGCGCACAAGUAGAGUGAUCGAAAGAUGAAAAGCACUUUGGAAAGAGAGUUAAAAAGUACGUGAAAUUGUUGAAAGGGAAGCGCUUGCAACCAGACUCGCUCGUAGUUGCUCAGCCGGCCUCUUGGCCGGUGUACUCUUCUACGAUCGGGCCAGCAUCAGUUCGGGCGGCAGGAUAAAGGUGUCGGGAAUGUAGCACCCUUCGGGGUGUGUUAUAGCCCGGCGCGGAAUGCUGCCAGCCUGGACUGAGGAUCUCGCUUCGGCAAGGAUGCUGGCGUAAUGGUUGUAAGCGGCCCGUCU